AAGCCACAUGGGCGCCCGGGCGCCACCGCUGCUUGUACCGUGUUUACACAAACUGGAAAUGUGCUGAUGGGGACAAGAGGCGUCCGAAACCCGGCGGCCAGCUGCCGGGUGGAGGCAAACGUUGUUUGUGGUGGUGGUGAUGGGCGCAGGCAGCUGCCACGGCAACGGGUGUGCUUAACGACGAAGGGAGAGAGCGAGAGUAAAAAGGUCAAAGGUCUCAUAUUAACAGGUGGGCAGAUAAUGCGAACCAGGAGGGCGGCCAUGCCCGGCUCAUUCACACCGCCGCGGAGGAGAAACGACCGCGGAGCGCGGGAUUGAGAUUACUGGGAUUGAAGCUGGCACUUCACACUCCUCCAAAGCUCCGGGGACGGGGCCAGACUCCAGGCGUCCACUACGGGUGGAGGUGUGGAAGCUCCACUUCCUCUUGGACCAGCAGCGGGAGACCAAUUAGGAAAGAAAAUGAAAGACUUUCUUUUUUUUUAAAACUUUUCUUUCAUCGCUCUAUCUUUCCUUCCUAUCUGUUUUCCUCAAGGUUGAAUAAUGACAAACGAAGACAGACGUUUGCUCUCAUGUGACGUGUGGAUGAUUCUCCACACACGUCCGAUAAGAGUUGAAUACUGCGUUCUUGUACGACAGCGAAAGGGAAGCAUAAAGUUGCAACUGUCCAUUAAAUAAUUGAUGGCUUUAUUAAAACGGGGCUUUCAUAAAUUUUCUUCAAACAGAAAAGCUGGUCCUAAUUUGACAACAAGCUACUGAAAAGGUUCUAGAUUUGAGAUUAAGUACUAUAUUUUUUUUAGGGGGGUUGAGAUUAUUUUUGUAAGAUUAAGUUAAUAAUCACUAAAUAAUGAUUACUUAAUAGUUAAUAGAUCAUCUUUUAUAUUCAGAAAGUGAUGAUAUCUAAAGAACAAUACUGAUUAAUGAACUAAUUUACUACGAUUAUACAAAAUGCCUCAGAAACAUACUCACGCCCUUUAAAUUUUUUCCCACAAUUAUACCAUUACAGGCAUAAACUUUAAUGCGUUUUACUGGGAUUCUGGGUAACACAUUAAUACAAAGUAAAGUAAUAAAUAUCUACUGUAUGAAAUAAAAUAAAAUUUGACAAAAUGUAAUAUUUGUUGCUGGUUUGGUAAUUUUCUGAUG